UGGCUCUGGCAUCGAUGAAGAACGCAGCGAAAUGCGAUAAGUAAUGUGAAUUGCAGAAUUCAGUGAAUCAUCGAAUCUUUGAACGCACAUUGCGCCCGCCAGUAUUCUGGCGGGCAUGCCUGUCCGAGCGUCAUUACAACCCUCAGGCCCCCGGGCCUGGUGUUGGGGAUCGGCGAAGCCCUCUGUGGCACACGCCGUCCCCCAAAUUCAGUGGCGGUCUCGCUGCAGCCUCCAUUGCGUAGUAGCUAACACCUCGCAACUGGAAGGCGGCGCGGCCACGCCGUAAAACCCCAACUUCUGAAUGUUGACCUCGGAUCAGGUAGGAACACCCGCUGA
rnacentral:misc_RNA from 1 species